AACGCACAUUGCGCCCUUUGGUAUUCCUUAGGGCAUGCCUGUUCGAGCGUCAUCUAAACCUUCAAGCCCUGCUUGGUGUUGGGUGCCUGUCCCGCCUCCGCGCGUGGACUCACCUCAAAUCCAUUGGCGGCCCCCGCGUCGGCCACGAGCGCAGCAGAAACGCGAACUCGUGAGCCCGUCCGGGCGGCUCCCAGAAGCUAACCCCCAAUUUUUGACCUCGGAUCAGGUAGGGAUACCCGCUGAACUUAA
rnacentral:misc_RNA from 1 species